CGGGUGAGUAAUGUCUGGGAAGCUGCCUGAUGGAGGGGGAUAACUACUGGAAACGGUAGCUAAUACCGCAUAAUGUCUGCGGACCAAAGCGGGGGACCUCCGGGCCUCGCGCCAUCAGAUGAACCCAUAUGGGAUUAGCUUGUAGGUAAGGUAACGGCUUACCUAGGCGACGAUCCCUAGCUGGUCUGAGAGGAUGAUCAGCCACACUGGGACUGAGACACGGUCCAG
rnacentral:rRNA from 1 species